UCAAGUGAAGAAGCGCAUACGGUGGAUGCCUUGGCAGUCAGAGGCGAUGAAAGACGUGGUAGCCUGCGAUAAGCUUCGGGGAGUCGGCAAACAGACUUUGAUCCGGAGAUCUCUGAAUGGGGGAACCCACUCAGCAUAAGCUGAGUAUCUUGUACUGAAUACAUAGGUGCAAGAGGCGAACCAGGGGAACUGAAACAUCUAAGUACCCUGAGGAAAAGAAAUCAACCGAGAUUCCCUUAGUAGUGGCGAGCGAACGGGGACUAGCCCUUAAGUGGCUUUGAGAUUAGCGGAACGCUCUGGAAAGUGCGGCCAUAGUGGGUGAUAGCCCUGUACGCGAAAAUCUCUUUUCAAUGAAAUCGAGUAGGACGGAGCACGAGAAACUUUGUCUGAAUAUGGGGGGACCAUCCUCCAAGGCUAAAUACUACUGACUGACCGAUAGUGAACCAGUACCGUGAGGGAAAGGCGAAAAGAACCCCGGAGAGGGGAGUGAAAUAGAUCCUGAAACCGUAUGCGUACAAGCAGUGGGAGCCUACUUUGUUAGGUGACUGCGUACCUUUUGUAUAAUGGGUCAGCGACUUAUAUUCAGUGGCGAGCUUAACCGAAUAGGGGAGGCGUAGCGAAAGCGAGUCUUAAUAGGGCGUUUAGUCGCUGGGUAUAGACCCGAAACCGGGCGAUCUAUCCAUGGGCAGGUUGAAGGUUAGGUAACACUGACUGGAGGACCGAACCGACUACCGUUGAAAAGUUAGCGGAUGACCUGUGGAUCGGAGUGAAAGGCUAAUCAAGCUCGGAGAUAGCUGGUUCUCCUCGAAAGCUAUUUAGGUAGCGCCUCAUGUAUCACUGUAGGGGGUAGAGCACUGUUUCGGCUAGGGGGUCAUCCCGACUUACCAAACCGAUGCAAACUCCGAAUACCUACAAGUGCCGAGCAUGGGAGACACACGGCGGGUGCUAACGUCCGUCGUGAAAAGGGAAACAACCCAGACCGUCAGCUAAGGUCCCAAAGUCAUGGUUAAGUGGGAAACGAUGUGGGAAGGCUUAGACAGCUAGGAGGUUGGCUUAGAAGCAGCCACCCUUUAAAGAAAGCGUAAUAGCUCACUAGUCGAGUCGGCCUGCGCGGAAGAUGUAACGGGGCUCAAACCAUGCACCGAAGCUACGGGUAUCACUUAGGUGAUGCGGUAGAGGAGCGUUCUGUAAGCCUGUGAAGGUGAGUUGAGAAGCUUGCUGGAGGUAUCAGAAGUGCGAAUGCUGACAUGAGUAACGACAAUGGGAGUGAAAAACUCCCACGCCGAAAGACCAAGGUUUCCUGCGCAACGUUAAUCGACGCAGGGUUAGUCGGUCCCUAAGGCGAGGCUGAAAAGCGUAGUCGAUGGAAAACAGGUUAAUAUUCCUGUACUUCCAGUUAUUGCGAUGGAGGGACGGAGAAGGCUAGGCCAGCUUGGCGUUGGUUGUCCAAGUUUAAGGUGGUAGGCUGAGAUCUUAGGUAAAUCCGGGAUCUUAAGGCCGAGAGCUGAUGACGAGUUGCCUUUAGGCGACGAAGUGGUUGAUGCCAUGCUUCCAAGAAAAGCUUCUAAGCUUCAGAUAACUAGGAACCGUACCCCAAACCGACACAGGUGGUUGGGUAGAGAAUACCAAGGCGCUUGAGAGAACUCGGGUGAAGGAACUAGGCAAAAUGGCACCGUAACUUCGGGAGAAGGUGCGCCGGUGAGGGUGAAGGACUUGCUCCGUAAGCUCAUGCCGGUCGAAGAUACCAGGCCGCUGCGACUGUUUAUUAAAAACACAGCACUCUGCAAACACGAAAGUGGACGUAUAGGGUGUGACGCCUGCCCGGUGCCGGAAGGUUAAUUGAUGGGGUUAGCGCAAGCGAAGCUCUUGAUCGAAGCCCCGGUAAACGGCGGCCGUAACUAUAACGGUCCUAAGGUAGCGAAAUUCCUUGUCGGGUAAGUUCCGACCUGCACGAAUGGCGUAACGAUGGCGGCGCUGUCUCCACCCGAGACUCAGUGAAAUUGAAAUCGCUGUGAAGAUGCAGUGUAUCCGCGGCUAGACGGAAAGACCCCGUGAACCUUUACUAUAGCUUUGCACUGGACUUUGAAUUUGCUUGUGUAGGAUAGGUGGGAGGCUUUGAAGCGUGGACGCCAGUUCGCGUGGAGCCAUCCUUGAAAUACCACCCUGGCAACUUUGAGGUUCUAACUCAGGUCCGUUAUCCGGAUCGAGGACAGUGUAUGGUGGGUAGUUUGACUGGGGCGGUCUCCUCCUAAAGAGUAACGGAGGAGUACGAAGGUGCGCUCAGACCGGUCGGAAAUCGGUCGUAGAGUAUAAAGGCAAAAGCGCGCUUGACUGCGAGACAGACACGUCGAGCAGGUACGAAAGUAGGUCUUAGUGAUCCGGUGGUUCUGUAUGGAAGGGCCAUCGCUCAACGGAUAAAAGGUACUCCGGGGAUAACAGGCUGAUACCGCCCAAGAGUUCAUAUCGACGGCGGUGUUUGGCACCUCGAUGUCGGCUCAUCACAUCCUGGGGCUGAAGUAGGUCCCAAGGGUAUGGCUGUUCGCCAUUUAAAGUGGUACGCGAGCUGGGUUUAGAACGUCGUGAGACAGUUCGGUCCCUAUCUGCCGUGGACGUUUGAGAUUUGAGAGGGGCUGCUCCUAGUACGAGAGGACCGGAGUGGACGAACCUCUGGUGUUCCGGUUGUCACGCCAGUGGCAUUGCCGGGUAGCUAUGUUCGGAAGAGAUAACCGCUGAAAGCAUCUAAGCGGGAAACUUGCCUCAAGAUGAGAUCUCACUGGAGCCUUGAGCUCCCUGAAGGGCCGUCGAAGACUACGACGUUGAUAGGUUGGGUGUGUAAGCGCUGUGAGGCGUUGAGCUAACCAAUACUAAUUGCCCGUGAGGCUUGACC
rnacentral:rRNA from 1 species